rnacentral:rRNA from 1 species
UACGGGGGGGGCAAGCGUUGUUCGGAAUUACUGGGCGUAAAGGGCCAGUAGGCGGCCAACUAAGUCCGACGUGAAAUCCCAAGGCUUAACCUUGGAACUGCGUCGGAUACUGGAUGGCUUGAAUUCGGGAGAGGGAUGCAGAAUUCCUGGUGUAGCGGUGAAAUGCGCAGAUAUCAAGAGGAACACCUGAGGUGAAGACGGGUUGCUGGGCUGACACUGACGCUGAGGCGCGAAAGCCAGGGGAGCAAACGGG